rnacentral:sRNA from 1 species
GGUUACCAUCAAAGAAUGUGCAUUAUGUUUAAGCACCUUUCAAGCCUGCAUGGACCCAAAAGGGGGGAUUUUCAUUUUUACUUAUCCUUGAAAUGUCUUCUGACUCCCUGGCUCUUUUGCUUUUCCUGAAGACAAAGACCAGACCUAAGAUGUCCCUCCCCUAUAAGAAAGAACUCAUCCUGUGUUUUCUCUCCUUCUCAGGCAGGAAAAACAUACGAACAAUUAAAAGAAGAGCUGGGAGAUGCUGCUGCUAUCAUGCGAAUCACUGCUGACAUGAAGAAUGCAACCCUCUCCCUGAAUUCUAAUGACAGUGAGCCAAAAUAUUACCCUAUAGCAGUUCUGUUGAAAAACCAGAAUCAGGAGCUACCUGAGGAUGUAAACCCUGCCAAAAAGGAGAAUUACCUCUCUGAACAGGACUUUGUGUCUGUGUUUGGCAUCACAAGAGGGCAAUUUGCAGCUCUGCCUGGCUGGAAACAGCUCCAAAUGAAGAAAGAAAAGGGGCUUUUCUAAAGCAAGAAGGCCUAUACCUAUUGCAAGGCCACAGAAAAGAGCAGAUAGUGCCAAUAUCAGGAAAUAAUUUAUCCACCAAUUUCUGCCUCACAUUCAGCUACU